rnacentral:rRNA from 1 species
GGGGGGUGGCUAUACAUGCAGUCGAACGCACUCUCGUUAGAUUGAAGAAGCUUGCUUCUGAUUGAUAACAUUUGAGUGAGUGGCGGACGGGUGAGUAACACGUGGGUAACCUGCCCUAAAGUGGGGGAUAACAUUUGGAAACAGAUGCUAAUACCGCAUAAAACCUAGCACCGCAUGGUGCAAGGUUGAAAGAUGGUUUCGGCUAUCACUUUAGGAUGGACCCGCGGUGCAUUAGUUAGUUGGUGAGGUAAAGGCUCACCAAGACCGUGAUGCAUAGCCGACCUGAGAGGGUAAUCGGCCACACUGGGACUGAGACACGGCCCAGACUCCUACGGGAGGCAGCAGUAGGGAAUCUUCCACAAUGGACGAAAGUCUGAUGGAGCAACGCCGCGUGAGUGAAGAAGGUUUUCGGAUCGUAAAACUCUGUUGUUGGAGAAGAACGUAUUUGAUAGUAACUGAUCAGGUAGUGACGGUAUCCAACCAGAAAGCCACGGCUAACUACGUGCCAGCAGCCGCGGUAAUACGUAGGUGGCAAGCGUUGUCCGGAUUUAUUGGGCGUAAAGCGAGCGCAGGCGGUUUCUUAAGUCUGAUGUGAAAGCCUUCGGCUCAACCGAAGAAGUGCAUCGGAAACUGGGAAACUUGAGUGCAGAAGAGGACAGUGGAACUCCAUGUGUAGCGGUGAAAUGCGUAGAUAUAUGGAAGAACACCAGUGGCGAAGGCGGCUGUCUGGUCUGUAACUGACGCUGAGGCUCGAAAGCAUGGGUAGCAAACAGGAUUAGAUACCCUGGUAGUCCAUGCCGUAACGAUGAGUGCUAGGUGUUGGAGGGUUUCCGCCCUUCAGUGCCGCAGCUAACGCAUUAAGCACUCCGCCUGGGGAGUACGACCGCAAGGGUUGAAACUCAAAGGAAUUGACGGGGGCCCGCACAAGCGGUGGAGCAUGUGGUUUAAUUCGAAGCAACGCGAGAACCUUUACCAGGUCUUGACAUCCUUUGACCACUCUAGGAGAUAGAGCUUUCCCUUCGGGGACAAGUGACAGGUGGGUGCAUGAUGUCGUCAGCUCGUGUCGUGAGAUGUUGGGAUAGUCCCGCACGAGCGCACCAUAUACUAGCUGCAAGCAUUAGUCGGCACUCUAGUGAGACUGGCUGGUGACCGACCCGGAGUAGUGAGACGACGUCGAUUCAUCAUGCUCCAUUUAUG